AUUGAACGCUGGCGGCAUGAUUUACACAUGCAAGUCGAACGGUAACAGGCCGCAAGGUGCUGACGAGUGGCGAACGGGUGCGUAAUGCAUCGGAACGUGCCCAGUCGUGGGGGAUAACUACUCGAAAGAGUAGCUAGUACCGCAUACGAUCUAUGGAUGAAAGCGGGGGACCGUAAGGCCUCGCGCGAUUGGAGCGGCCGAUGUCCGAUUAGGUAGUUGGUGGGGUAAAGGCUCACCAAGCCAACGAUCUGUAGCUGGUCUGAGAGGACGACCAGCCACACUGGGACUGAGACACGGCCCAGACUCCUACGGGAGGCAGCAGUGGGGAAUUUUGGACAAUGGGCGCAAGCCUGAUCCAGCAAUGCCGCGUGCAGGAAGAAGGCCUUCGGGUUGUAAACUGCUUUUGUACGGAACGAAACGGCUCUGGUUAAUACCCGGGGCUAAUGACGGUACCGUAAGAAUAAGCACCGGCUAACUACGUG
rnacentral:rRNA from 1 species